CAGGACGCAGACGGGGGGACACUGGUUCCCUUCUUCAGUCCAGUGUCUCUGGAGAGCAGGAUAGUUGUGACUCACACUGGGGUUCUCAGCUGAGGCGGCUGAGGAGUGAGUGUGAGGCCAGCCCGGGCUGCAAACAUCUCCACAUCUCCACACUCUUGCCCUGUGUGCUCUUUCAUGCCUUGGAUGUUUUGUUGAUGCCGCUGUCUACAGACAGUGUUGACAGCUUGCUCUGUAGACCAGGCUGGCCUGAAGUUCACAGAAACCUACCAGCUGCUGAGUGUGGGGUGAGAGCUGCGUGCCACCACGGAAAGCUCGGGCCAGGAACCGGCUUCCCCUCCAGAACCCAGCCCCGCGACAGCCCCCUCCGUGGCCGGAGGACUGCCCUCCCUGGGGCCUGGGGCCUACCUGAGCCGGAAGGCUCGUCUCUCCUUCCGCCACCAGCUGCACGACGUGG